rnacentral:tRNA from 1 species
UUAAUUGAAACCAAAAAAGCGGUAUAUUACUGUUAAUAAUAUUAGUGAAAUCUAUUUCCAAUUAAG